rnacentral:rRNA from 1 species
CACCGGCGGCUCGAGUGGUGGCCACUUUUAUUGGGUCUAAAACGUCCGUAGCCGGCUUGGCAAGUCCCCUGGGAAAUCUGGCGGCUUAACCGUCAGGCGUCCAGAGGAUACUGCCAGGCUUGGGACCGGGAGAGGUGAGAGGUACCUCAGGGGUAAGGGUGAAAUCUUGUGAUCCCUGAGGGACCACCAGUGGCGAAGGCGACUACCUGGACUGAUACUGACACUGAGGUGCGAAAGCGUGGGGAGCAAACAGG